CCUACGGGUGGCAGCAGUGAGGAAUAUUGGUCAAUGGACGAGAGUCUGAACCAGCCAAGUAGCGUGAAGGAUGACUGCCCUAUGGGUUGUAAACUUCUUUUAUAUGGGAAUAAAAUGUUCCACGUGUGGGAUUUUGUAUGUACCAUAUGAAUAAGGAUCGGCUAACUCCGUUCCAGCAGCCGCGGUAAUACGGAGGAUCCGAGCGUUAUCCGGAUUUAUUGGGUUUAAAGGGAGCGUAGGUGGAUUGUUAAGUCAGUUGUGAAAGUUUGCGGCUCAACCGUAAAAUUGCAGUUGAAACUGGCAGUCUUGAGUACAGGAGAGGUGGGCGGAAUUCGUGGUGUAGCGGUGAAAUGCUUAGAUAUCACGAAGAACUCCGAUUGCGAAGGCAGUUCACUGGACUGCAACUGACACUGAGGCUCGAAAGUGUGGGUAUCAAACAGGAUUAGAUACCCGUGUAGUC
rnacentral:rRNA from 1 species